rnacentral:rRNA from 1 species
CCCCUAGAUGUUCUGGGCCGCACGCGCGCUACACUGAACAGUUCAACAAGUCUUAACCUUGGCCGAUAGGUCUGGGUAAUCUUUGAACGCUGUUCGUGAUUGGGAUAGACCUUUGCAAUUAUGGGUCUUCAACGAGGAAUUCCUAGUAAACGCAAGUCAUCAGCUUGCAUUGAUUACGUCCCUGCCCUUUGUACACACCGCCCGUCGCACCUACCGAUUGAAUGGUCCGGUGAAAUGUCGGGACGGCGGCUUGGUCGCUUGCGUCCGACUGCUGAAACUUGAUUAAACCAUAUCAUUUAGAGGAAGGUGAAGUCGUAACA